rnacentral:rRNA from 1 species
AUUGAACGCUGGCGGCAGGCUUAACACAUGCAAGUCGAACGAGUGGCGGACGGGUGAGUAAUGUUUGGGAAACUGGCUGAUGGAGGGGGAUAACUACGGGAAACUGUAGCUAAUACCGCGUACCAUAGGAUGAGCCCAAGUGGGAUUAGCUAGUUGGUGGGGUAACGGCUCACCAAGCCGACGAUCUCUAGCUGGUCUGAGAGGAUGACCAGCAACACUGGGACGGAGACACGGCCCAGACUCCUACGGGAGGCAGCAGUGGGGAAUAUUGCGCAAUGGGGGCAACCCGGACGCAGCCAUGCCGCGUGAAUGAAGAAGGCCUUCGGGUUGUAAAGUACUUUCAGUAGGGAGGCGUUAACUACAGAAGAAGCACCGGCUAACUCCGUGCCAGCCGCCGCGGUAAUAC